rnacentral:rRNA from 1 species
CCUACGUGUUGCAGCAGUGAGGAAUAUUGGUCAAUGGGCGAGAGCCUGAACCAGCCAAGUAGCGUGAAGGAUGAAGGCCCUAUGGGUCGUAAACUUCUUUUAUAUGGGAAUAAAGUGGAGUAUGUAUACUCUUUUGUAUGUACCAUAUGAAUAAGGAUCGGCUAACUACGUGCCAGCAGCCGCGGUCAUACGUAGGACCCAAGCGUUAUCCGGAAUUACUGGGCGUAAAGAGUUGCGUAGGUGGCAUUAUAAGUGGAGCGUGAAAGCGUGCGGCUCAACCGCAUUACUGCGUUCCAAACUGUAAAGCUUGAGUAUGAGAGGGGUAGAUGGAAUUUCUAGUGUAGGAGUGAAAUCCGUAGAUAUUAGAAGGAACACCGAUAGCGUAGGCAGUCUACUGGCUCAUUACUGACACUAAGGCACGAAAGCGUGGGGAGCAAACA